rnacentral:lncRNA from 1 species
AUGCUAAUAGAAAUUAUUUUAUCCAAUCUUUUCACGCUUUUCAUUCUCCUCUUUCUCUUCUCCCCAGACUCAGCUGCAGUAGGAGAAAGCUGGGGCAGAGGCAAACUUAACAAUCCUUACGAUGAAGACAAAAUGAAAACUCAUAAACUAAACAAAAGAAUUCACAAAAGCAACACUGGGAUGUUAAUUAGCCAUUCAGUUGCAGAAAUGACCACAAUUCUUUGCAGACUAUAGAUCUCUACUCAUUGAUUCUGGACAAUAAUGUGAGAGAAGCUACCUGUGUGAGUUAUAAGCCUAGGCCUCAACUCACUUUGUGGACUUUUGCUCUUGCUCCUGCGAGCCUUCCUACCUGUCAUAUAAACAAGACUGACCUAGCUUACUCGAGAGUGAGAGACAAAUGGAAUAAAGACAUGCUUUCCUGGAUAAGGCCAUCCUAGGCUAACAAGUCCCCAGCCAACAUGGCAGCUGACCACAUUUGCCAUGAGUAAGCCUCACUGAGAUCAAGUGAGUCUGACUUGGAUCAGCAUAACUGCCUAGCUAAUCCCAGUCCAAAUUGCUGCCUCACAGAAUUUUGAGCUACAUAAAGGGCUGUUGUUUGAAACCACUAAGUUUUGUGAUGGCUUGUAACGAAACAAAAAGUGAUACGUAUUUCUUCUUCAGCACACAACUAAACUACAUUUGUCAUAUUCCCUUGCUUCUAGAUUGGCCAUGUGACUAGUUCUUCCCAGUGAAAUGUGAGUGGAAAUGGACAUGUGUCACUUUUGUGCCAAAGUAGUUUAGGAGCUGGUGUGCCUUCUCAUUUUCUCUUCCUCUGUUUGUUGACUGAAUGCAGAGGUUCUAGUUGAGGACUCUACAAUAUACAUAGAACCUGGGUCCCCGAAUUACCAUAUGGAGAGGGGCCACUCACCAGACCAGAACAUCCAUUUGGACUUUAUGUGAUCUAGUAAUAAACUUCAACUGUGGUAAGCUAAGAGGUU